rnacentral:tRNA from 1 species
UGGGUUGCCCGGGAUUUGAACCCGGAACCAAUCGG